rnacentral:rRNA from 1 species
UACGGAGGGUGAGCGUUGUCCGGAAUCAUUGGGCGUAAAGGGCGCGUAGGUGGCCCGGCAAGCGUGCGGUGAAAGUCGGGGGCUCAACCCCCGAUCGGCCGUGCGAACUGCGGGGCUGGAGCACUGUAGAGGCAGGCGGAAUUCCGGGUGUAGCGGUGGAGUGCGUAGAGAUCCGGAAGAACACCGGUGGCGAAGGCGGCCUGCUGGGCAGUUUUGCUGACACUGAGGCGCGACAGCGUGGGGAGCAAACAGG